rnacentral:lncRNA from 1 species
CCCAAAACUUGAAUCAACCGAGAUGUCCCUUAAUAGCUUCAUGCACAAAGAAAGUAUGUUACAUCCAAUGUUAUCCAACAGUAAAAAAGUAUGAGUUAUCAAACCACACAAAGAUAUAAAUGAUUCUUAAACACAUAUUGCUAAGUCAAUCUGAAAUGCCAUAAUACUAGAUCUCGACAUGACAUCCUGGAAAAGGCAAAACUAUACAGACAUUAUGAACAGUGGUUUUCAGGGGCUUAGAAGUAAAGUAGAGGGGAUUUAUUUUUUAGGGCAAUGAAACUAAUUUGUAUGACAGUAUAAUGAACAAUACAUAACUUUUCAACCCCCAUGAAAUUUGCAAGACAAAAAAUGAAACUUAAUGUAUGCAAAUUGAAAACAAAAAUUUAUUUAGGUUGUCAGGGGAGCCAGGAUGUAAUGCAGAAUGUGAUAAAAAGAUCUAACUACAUUACAAAUGGAUUAGAAAACUUCACUGAAGAAGGUUGGAGAAAAAGAUGAUGACUUAAGUAACUUUGGAAAUGAAUAGAGUUUGCGAAACUAAAGACAAAAGAAAUGCCAUAAAAUAUAUUCUAGAUAUAAUGAUGAUAAUGUCGUGCCUUUUGGAAUUGUAUUUUAACACACUGAAACCACUACAUACAUGCUACAGAAAUUAACAAUUGGGUAAAUACAUGGGUGAGUGGUGGGAACCAGGAUUUCCCUUGCUGGAGUGGGAGAUGGACAAGUGGGAAGGUUACAGUGAUCCAUGUUGUAAUGGAUGAGAGUUGAAAAUAUCAGGAUGAAUCCAUUUAGGUAAUAUAAAUACAGAUGGUAACUCACAGAACUAUUAAUGGAUACGUGUAUAUACACAUUUUUGUAUAUGCACAUGUAAUUCACAUAUAAUUAUGAGUCCACACUGAUAUAAAUGCAUAAAUGUAUGAAUAAAUAAUAAAUAACUAGGAAUAGGCAAAUAUGCCAUGCAAAAGAACUCUAAAUAACUUGUGUAGAUAUUUUGCCUUUGAGGAGGUGAAACAAAACUAUCCACUCCUUAAGAGUGACUACACAUAGUGACAUUUCCCCCCACCAAAAAAAAAAAAAAA